rnacentral:lncRNA from 10 species
GUCUUCCUCACUGCCCCUGUUCAGGAACAUUGUAAUUACUACUGAGGAGCCCCAGGUAACUCUGGACGUCAUGGGCACCCAAAUUCAGUUUCUUUUUGAUGCAGGAGCAAAUUACUCUGUUCUUACUGCUUAUGCAGUAAGGCGUUCCUCCCAGUCCACAAGUGUUAUGGGAAUAGAAUGGAAGCCACAAACGAAUUCAUUACUCCUCCUUUGAUUUGUCAAUUUGAGAAACAACUCUUCCAACAGGAUUUCCUAGUAGUACCAAGCUGCCCAAUCCCCCUGUUGGGAAGAGAUAUUAUGGUUAAAAUGGAGGCACUACUACAAUUUAAGCAUCA